AUUCAUGAUCGGACAGCUAUGGAACCUAACGCUUUCCUGGUCUGUUUCUUGACGGUGUGUCUUUUUGGGGGCAUUUUUGGAGAAUCGCCUACAGUUUAUAUCACGAAACAGUGUGGGAAGUCGGUAAACAUCAGUGAACAAAACUUCGUCGAACUCUCGCCAGCUACGAGACCCAGGAUUACCAAUACAACUUGUAGGCUGAAUCUCGCUCCAUUGACCCCAAACAGCAAUGACUCAGGUCUGGUCCUGACCAUUGAGCACAUAGGACUGUCAAGUAAAACAUCAGGCGCAUGCCUCAAUAACAGAAUCAACAUAUAUGAUGGCACAGAAAAACUGAACAAACAGGAUAUAUGUGGAAGGUACUUAGAUCAACAAACUUUUGUAACCAAUAGUACAGCUCACCAUAUGAUGGGAAUAGAACUGAUAUCACGUGACUAUCAGCAAAGAGACAUCAGUUUAAAGGCAGUUGUCACUCCUUAUCACAAUGGUAUAGUACUUAUAUAAAAUGUCAGUGUUAUAUAUGAUAUCAUAGGCAUUGCUGAAUGUUUUAAAAGUUAAGAUAGCAAUGCUGUAUUCAAUGAUUUUAAAAUAUUCAUACAUAGGAUCAUACUCAUGUACAUUUAUUACGAUACAAAAUAUUAAGAUAUGCUUUAUAAAAGUGUACAUUGAAAUAAAUUCCCAUCGUUAUGAAAGAAAAAAAAUAUGUACAUGUAGUCAUUCAUGGAUUAAUUCUCCUUAUCGCAUGCACUUAAAAAGGUAAGUGGGAUUACAGUAUAAAACAUGACCCCUCUAUCCUAUUUAUCCUUAAGGUCCUUGCUACUCGGACGAGUUCCAGUGCGCUAACGGUCGCUGUAUCUCCGUGAAUCUCAUAUGUAACAAGCACGAUAAUUGUGGAGACCACAGCGACGAACUGAACAAACUGUGUGGGUUGCUAUACCUGAGCGUCGCCGCCAUUGUGGGGAUCAUUCUGGGUGUACUGGCGGCCAUUAUUUGUAUCCCCUGUCUGUUCAUCGUGUUCUGUUGUAAGGGGAACAGAAGAAGACGGGUCGUGUAUCAGAGGAUCUAAUAUAUUGGAUCUUUAUCUAAUAAACAAAAGUGUGAUUAUGUUUUCUAUGAUUAUAUCCAGCAAACAAAGUGUGGUUCUGUUUUUCUAUGAUUAUAUCCAACAAACAUUGUGAUUAUGUUUUUUUUUAUGAUUAUAUUCAACAAACAGAGUGUUAUUAUGUAAUCUAAGAUUAUAUCCCGCAAACACAAUGUGAUUAUGUUAUCCAUGACUAGAAUAUUGGAUUUACACUGUACAUCCAACAGUGUGAUUAUGUUAUCUUUUAUUGCAAUACUGGAUUUAUGUCCAAUAGAUAUGGACAUACGUCAUCCAUUAUUAGAAAAAAAACGGAUUAAAAUACAUCAGAGUGUGAUUUAUUUAGCAAAUAAGAUUUAUAUUAUCUAUCUAAAGCAUCGCAAGAGUUGCUUUUCUACUAAUUAGUUUGUGGUUUUUUUAUUGUUAUCAUUUAAUGUGUACAUACAUGUACAUGAAUUACGCUUAACUGUUUGUCCGAUCAAAUCUUCUUUGAUUUAUGAACAAAUUGGAAUGCCCUAUUCAACGUGAAUAUACUGUAAAAUUUUGAAUGUAAAUGUGUGACUCUUUGUUUUUGUUCUGUUAUAUAUGUGCCUAAAAUAUCAUUUUUGCAUAAUUUUGUAUAUGUAUUUCGAUGUCGUUUUAAGACAAAAUUUCUAGUUUCUCUGAUGUUUUCUGCAUUUUGCUUACAAAUAUUAUACAUUUUACACAUUUGAUAAAUAUACUUUUUUAAUGAC
rnacentral:misc_RNA from 1 species